UUAUUUGACCAAGCUCAUCUUUGCGCGCUUCAAAACACGGAUGAAUUCAGAAGCUAUUUUGUUGAACACCUACAAUACUUGAAGAGGGAGUUUCCAAGAUUCAAAAAGAAUAAAAAGUGGCUUACAGACAAGCAAAACAAGACAUUUGCAGAUUGGUUGAAGGAGAGGGUUGCUGUUCAACUAAGUGAACCAGAUUCUCACGUUCCCGAGAUUGUCAGAUGGCUUUC